rnacentral:rRNA from 1 species
GUACGCAACCUUCCCAGAACUGGUGAAUAGCCCUCCGAAAGGAGGAUUAAUACACCGUAACAUAAUGAAUGGGCAUCCAUUUAUUAUUAUAGUCCCGACGGUUCUGGAUGGGCGUGCGCCUGAUUAUGGUAGUUGGCGGGGUAACGGCCCACCAAGCCUACGAUCAGUAACUGGUGUGAGAGCACGACCAGUCACACGGGCACUGAGACACGGGCCCGACUCCUACGGGAGGCAGCAGUAAGGAAUAUUGGUCAAUGGACGAAAGUCUGAACCAGCCAUGCCGCGUGAAGGAUGAAGGUCCUCUGGAUUGUAAACUUCUUUUAUAUGGGACGAAAAAAGGGAAUUCUUUCUCACUUGACGGUACCAUAGGAAUAAGCACCGGCUAACUCCGUGCCAGCAGCCGCGGUAAUACGGAGGGUGCAAGCGUUAUCCGGAUUCACUGGGUUUAAAGGGUGCGUAGGUGGGUAAGUAAGUCAGCGGUGAAAUCUCCGAGCUUAACUCGGAAACUGCCAUUGAUACUAUUUAUCUUGAAUAUUCUGGAGGUGAGCGGAAUAUGUCAUGUAGCGGUGAAAUGCUUAGAUAUGACAUAGAACACCAAUUGCGAAGGCAGCUCACUACAGAGUCAUUGACGCUGAGGCACGAAAGCGUGGGGAUCAAACAGGAUUAGAUACCCUGGUAGUCCACGCCCUAAACGAUGAUUACUC